UGCCGGUGACCAAUCCCUGCUAUAUCGGUGAAAGUCCCACCCGAUACUUCUGGUGGGAUAACGCCGAGGGAAGUCCAGAACAACACGAGCGAGCUGAACGCGUUCCAGCAGGCGGUCUUGGUGGGCACGUUGCUAGGCGAUGGAAGCAUCGCAAAGCACGGCUAUCACCACAGACUCUUCAUCAAACACAAGGCGGCGCAUCUUGCGCUCGCCGCGUGGAAACGUGAUGUCUUCAAUGACUUCACGUCGAUGCCGCUGCAUCACUUCGAUCAGCGGCUGGGUGAUCGUCUCUACCCGUGCGUGCAGUUUGUCACUCGGACGAAUCCGAUCUUCUCGGAAUGGCGGCAACGCUUCUACCGAGACGGUCGAAAGAUCGUUCCAGAGAACAUCGAAAAGCUGCUCGCACCUGUCGCGGUUGCGGCGUGGUUCAUGGAUGACGGCACGGCUGAUCGGGCCGGCGUGUCAUUUCAGACCCACAGUUUCCAGCACGACGAAGUCGAGCGACUCGCGGCAACGCUGCGAGAUUUGUAUCGACUGGAGACGAGCUUGAAUCGGAACAAGGGCGCUCAUGUCGUGUAUGUACACGGCUCGAGCGUGCCGGCCCUCGCGGCGCUCAUCGCGCCGACGAUGUUGCCGGAGCUCGCAUACAAGUUGGUCCCGCGAGGGACCUGGACCCCGUAGAGACUGUACGCAGGCCCCCGAUCCAUUCUGAUCGGGGCGAAGACACAGUCCGAUCUCGCCAGCAAUGGCGAGAGGCUGACAGAAAUGCUCGGCCCGCCAAGCACGAUGCUUGGUCAUGACUCUUCUCACGGGGUGGGAAGGGAAGCAACAGAAUGUAGAUACCCCGUUAGUCCUAGCUGUAAACAAUGGGCACUAGGUGUUGUCGGUAUCGACCCCGGCAGUGCCGUAGCUAACGCAUUAAGUGCCCCGCCUGGGGAGUACGACCGCAAGGUUAAAACUCAAAGAAAUUGACGGGGGCCCGCACAAGCAGCGGAGCGUGCGGUUUAAUUCGAUGGUACGCGAAGAACCUUACCCAGACUUGACAUGCAAGUGGUAGAGGACCGAAAGGCGAUCGACCCGCAAGGGAGCUUGCACAGGUGUUGCACGGCUGUCGUCAGCUCGUGUCGUGAGAUGUUGGGUUAAGUCCCGCAACGAGCGCAACCCUCGCGGCCUGUUGUAUCACUCAGGCCGGACUGCCGAGAGAAACUCGGAGGAAGGUGGGGAUGACGUCAAGUCAGCGUGGCCCUUACGUCUGGGGCUACACGCACGCUACAAUGACCGGUCACAGCGAGUUGCGACUGCGUGAGCAGAAGCUAACCUCUUAAAACCGGCCUCAGUUCAGAUCGAAGGCUGCAACCCGCCUUCGUGAAGUCGGAGUUGCUAGUAACCGCGGGUCAUCACACCGCGGUGAAUAUGUUCCCGGGCCUUGUACACACCGCCCGUCACGUCAUGGGAGUCAGUAACACCCGAAGCCGGUGGGCCAACCGCAAGGAGGCAGCCGUCGAAGGUGGGAUUGGCGACUGGGACGAAGUCGUAAACGAUUGCGACCUCUCGCUGGUAACA
rnacentral:rRNA from 1 species